CUCCCGGUAGCCAAGUUGGUUUAAGGCGCCAGACUGUAAUGGUGAAGUAAUCUGGAGAUCGGGCGUUCGACUCGCCCCCGGGAGA
rnacentral:tRNA from 2 species